rnacentral:rRNA from 1 species
UACGGGGGGGGGCAAGCGUUUGUUCGGAAUUACUGGGUGUAAAGGGCGUGUAGGCGGCCAACUAAGUCCGACGUGAAAUCCCCAGGCUUAACCUGGGAACUGCGUCGGAUACUGGAUGGCUUGAAUCCGGGAGAGGGAUGCAGAAUUCCAGGUGUAGCGGUGAAAUGCGUAGAUAUCUGGAGGAAUACCGGUGGCGAAGGCGGCAUCCUGGACCGGCAUUGACGCUGAAGCGCGAAAGCUAGGGGAGCAAACGGG